UUUGAGAAGAUAAUUAAGAAGGAGAUUUUAAUGCAUGUUGAACACCAUCUUGACCCCUUCCAGUUUGCCUAUAGAGCAGGGAGAGGUGUGGAGGAUGCUGCUGUCACACUCCUGCAUCUCUUGUAUAAGCAUCUUGAGGCCCCCCACACCCACGCAAGAUUAUUAUUUGCUGACUUUUCAUCGGCAUUCAAUACAAUUCAACCCCUCUUAUUUGCUGACAGGCUCUACAAUCAUUUCAAGCUUGACACUAGUCUGGUCCGCUGGGUGACAGACUUUCUGACUAAUAGGUCACAAUGUGUGAGGGUGAAUCAUGUGUUUUCUGAUGUGCUCUCCUCCUCUACUGCAUCACCCCAGGGUUGCUGCCUCUCUCCCCUUCUGUUCUUUCUGUACACAAAUGAGUGUUGCAGCAAUUUCACGAACAGACACAUCCUGAAGUUUGGUGAUGACACAGUGAUCGUCAGUCUUCUUGUGGGGGCGAGUCAGGCCAUGGACAGGUUGUAGAUGAUUUUGUGGAUUGGUGUGAUGAGUCCUUCCUGUCACUAAAUGUGUCAAAAACUAAAGACAUGAUUAUUGAUUUUAGGAAGUCCUCUUAUAGCUCAUCACCCACUAUCAUUAACCUUAACCCAAUUUCCCUCAGGAUGAAUAAAGUAUUAUCAAUCAAUCAUUAAAACUGCUGAUAUUGGGAUCGUUGAGAGUUAUAAAUAUCUAGGUGUGCUUGACCAUAAAGAAUCUCAUGCUGGCCACUACUAAAAAAGUUCAACAAAGACUGUUCUUUUUAAGGAAAAUGAGAUCUUUUAAUGUCUCAUCCGAGAUGUUGUCUUUGUUUUAUAGAUGUUUUAUCGAAUCUGUGAUGUCUUUUUGUAUCGCUGCCUGGUUUGGUAACCUGACGGUGAAGAAUAAGAAUCGAUUCGGUCUUCUGGUAAAAACUGCUAGCAAAAUUUCAGGGCGCUGGCAAGAUGGACUUUUGGCUAUUUACAAUAAAAAUGUGCUUAUAAAGGUUCAUUCUAUUGUUAAUUGUUUGAACCAUCCACUUCACAGUGAGUUUGAGCUGUUGCCUUUAGUUGCCGUCGUUUUAGAGUACCUGUGAGGAAGACCAAAAGACUCCAGGUAUCUUUUAUCCCUACUGCAUCCUGUCUCCUAAAUAGCAUAUAACCGUCUGGGGAUUUUCUAUUACUAUUAUUGUCGUUUUAUAUUAUUGUUUUGUUUACUUUUUUGUUUACCUUUAUCCGGCUGCUAAACUAAUUUCCCUUUUGGGAAAAUAAAGAAUUUGACAUGAACAGCAGAUUGAAGAUUGGUGUAGUGACCUGUCCUGUAUUUGCAUACAACAAAGGUGUCUCACCACCUAUCCCAAGACCCUCUUCUGGAGCUCUCUCUCCCGUUGUUUGAUGCAUGCUCAAUCAUCCAGGGGAAACGGAUAGGAACACAGCCGGACCAGCUGGCUGCAAAUCUCUGCAAUCUGCUGCUUAGCCCCCUUCUUCGGCGAUGCCGACUACCUCCUUGGCAGGACUGCUCCCCCUCUGCUGCUGGUCUUCUGGGUGGCCCCCAGAAGAGGCCCAUUUCCUCUGUGGUACUCCACGCUGGCCCCCUUAACCAUCUCCUCUAUUGGUCUUCAGGCUGGCCACCAGAUCUAUCCCUUAGCCGAGGUUCUUCUUCGAGUCGACCCCCUGACCUAUCCUUUACAGGCCUCAGGAUUGGGCCACUUCCAGAGAUGUUGUCCCAGGUGUUUGGAAAUAUUAGCCUCCCUGUGAAUCUGCAUUUGGGUCCUCAUUCACCCCCAACACGAUGAGUAAAAGAAACCCUACAGGGCCAGCUCUGUUCUAGGAUGCCCUCUGGACCCAGUGGAGGUGGUGAGUGACAGGAGAACGGCGGCUAAGCUGUCAUCCCUGUUGGACAACAUCUCCCACCCCAUGCAGCAGACUGUGACAGCACUGAGCAGCUCCUUCAGUGGGAGACUGCGGCACCCACGGUGUGGGACGGAGAGAUUUCGCAGGAUGCCAGACAGCUAGGCAGCGAAGGACUGAUGGAAUCAGGGUCUGCAGCUUUGCCUGGGUGUAGUUCCAUCAGCUGCCUCCUCACCUGGCCAGCCGUCACAGUCACGUGUCAAGAAAGGCCUGAAGAUUUUUCAUUGAGGAGGGCGACCAGUGACCUUGUGAUCCAGAGUGAUGUCAUCCCAUGAGGACACAGAGCAUGUCUCAGUGUGGUGUGAAUGUAGUCCUGCAGGGCCUCACUGGCGUCCUCACUUCACCUCCUCCAAGACUUGGUGGCAAGACUGACACUAUGGCUCAGCAACUGUCAUUGUACCUAAAGAAAAUAAACUUCCUCAAAUAGCAU
ensembl:lncRNA